rnacentral:tRNA from 1 species
GCCGACGUAGCUCAGGGGUAGAGCACUUCACUCGUAAUGAAGGGGUCGUGAGUUCAAAUCUCACCGUCGGCU